GAUGAAGAACGUAGCGAAAUGCGAUAAGUAAUGUGAAUUGCAGAAUUCAGUGAAUCAUCGAAUCUUUGAACGCACAUUGCGCCCGCUGGUAUUCCGGCGGGCAUGCCUGUUCGAGCGUCAUUUCAACCCUCAAGCUCUCCGGAGUCUGGUGUUGGGGCGCCUGGGGCUUUUCGACCUCAGGGCCCUCAAGUCCAUCGGCGGGACCGCCAGGACACUGAGCGCAGUAGUAUUAUUUCGCUCGGUAGGAUCUUCCACGGCGGGUCGAUCUGGCCGCUAAACCCCCCAAUUCUCACCAAAGGUUGACCUCGGAUCAGGUAGGAAUACCCGCUGAACUUAAGCAUAUCAAUAAGCGGAGGA
rnacentral:misc_RNA from 1 species